rnacentral:rRNA from 1 species
GCAUAUCAAUAAGCGGAGGAAAAGAAACCAACAGGGAUUGCCCUUAGUAACGGCGAAGUGAAGCGGCAACAGCUCAAAUUUGAAAUCUGGCGUCUUUGGCGUCCGAAGUUGUAAUUUGCAGAGGGCGCUUUGGCAUUGGCAGCGGUCCAAGUUCCUUGGAACAGGACGUCACAGAGGGUGAGAAUCCCGUACGUGGUCGCUAGCCUUUACCGUGUAAAGCCCCUUCGACGAGUCGAGUUGUUUGGGAAUGCAGCUCUAAAUGGGAGGUAAAUUUCUUCUAAAGCUAAAUACUGGCCAGAGACCGAUAGCGCACAAGUAGAGUGAUCGAAAGAUGAAAAGCACUUUGGAAAGAGAGUUAAAAAGCACGUGAAAUUGUUGAAAGGGAAGCGCUUGCAGCCAGACUUGCCUGUAGUUGCUCAUCCGGGUUUUUACCCGGUGCACUCUUCUAUAGGCAGGCCAGCAUCAGUUUGGGCGGUUGGAUAAAGGUCUCUGUCAUGUACCUCUCUUCGGGGAGAACUUAUAGGGGAGACGACAUGCAACCAGCCCGGACUGAGGUCCGCGCAUCUGCUAGGAUGCUGGCGUAAUGGCUGUAAGCGGCCCGUCUUGAAACACGGACCAAGGAGUCUAACAUCUAUGCGAGUGUUUGGGUGUCAAGCCCGAGCGCGUAAUGAAAGUGAACGGAGGUGGGAACCUUUCGGGGUGCACCAUCGACCGAUCCUGAUGUCUUCGGAUGGAUUUGAGUAAGAGCAUAGCUGUUGGGACCCGAAAGAUGGUGAACUAUGCUUGAAUAGGGUGAAGCCAGAGGAAACUCUGGUGGAGGCUCGCAGCGGUUCUGACGUGCAAAUCGAUCGUCAAAUUUGGGCAUAGGGGCGAAAGACUAAUCGAACUAUCUAGUAGCUGGUUCUGC